UACGUAGGGGGCGAGCGUUUGUCCGGAUUUAUUGGGCGUAAAGAGCUCGUAGGCGGUUCGAUAAGUCAGGUGUAAAAAACUCCAGGCUCAACUUGGAGAGGCCACCUGAUACUGUCGUGACUAGAGUCCGGUAGAGGAGCACGGAAUUCCUGGUGUAGCGGUGAAAUGCGCAGAUAUCAGGAGGAACACCAGCGGCGAAGGCGGUGCUCUGGGCCGGAACUGACGCUGAGGAGCGAAAGCGUGGGGAGCGAACAGG
rnacentral:rRNA from 1 species